rnacentral:rRNA from 1 species
GACGAACGCUGGCGGCGUGCCUAAUACAUGCAAGUCGAGCGGACGAAUCGAAAGCUUGCUUUUGAUUCGUUAGCGGCGGACGGGUGGGUAACACGUGGGCAACCUGCCCUGUAGACGGGGAUAACACCGAGAAAUCGGUGCUAAUACCGGAUAACACGAAAUGUCGCAUGACGUUUCGUUGAAAGACGGCGCAAGCUGUCGCUACAGGAUGGGCCCGCGGCGCAUUAGCUAGUUGGUGAGGUAACGGCUCACCAAGGCGACGAUGCGUAGCCGACCUGAGAGGGUGAUCGGCCACACUGGGACUGAGACACGGCCCAGACUCCUACGGGAGGCAGCAGUAGGGAAUCUUCCGCAAUGGACGAAAGUCUGACGGAGCAACGCCGCGUGAGCGAAGAAGGCCUUCGGGUCGUAAAGCUCUGUUGUUAGGGAAGAACAAGUAACGCAGUAACUGGCGUUACCGUGACGGUACCUAACGAGAAAGCCACGGCUAACUACGUG